rnacentral:misc_RNA from 1 species
UCUCCGUUGGUGAACCAGCGGAGGGAUCAUUACAGGAUCGAAAGACUCCUAUAACCCCUGUGAACUUACUACAAAUACGUUGCUUCGGCGGGUGCCCCGGGUCUCCCGGGGCGUUCAGCCCGCCGGCAGCCUUCAAAUUCUGUUUCUUUGCGUUGGCAUCUCGAGUAUACGAAAAUAAGUUAAAACUUUCAACAACGGAUCUCUUGGUUCUG